rnacentral:rRNA from 1 species
AUUGAACGCUGGCGGCAUGCCUUACACAUGCAAGUCGAACGGCAGCACGGGUGCUUGCACCUGGUGGCGAGUGGCGAACGGGUGAGUAAUACAUCGGAACGUACCUUAUCGUGGGGGAUAACGCAGCGAAAGCUGUGCUAAUACCGCAUACGCCCUGAGGGGGAAAGCGGGGGAUCGAAAGACCUCGCGCGAUUAGAGCGGCCGAUGCCGGAUUAGCUUGUUGGUGGGGUAAAAGCCCACCAAGGCGACGAACAGUAGCUGGUCUGAGAGGACGAUCAGCCACGCUGGGACUGAGACACGGCCCAGACUCCUGCGGAAGGCAGCAGUGGGGAAUUUUGGACAAUGGGGGCAACCCUGAUCCAGCAAUGCCGCGUGAGUGAAGAAGGCCUUCGGGUUGUAAAGCUCUUUUGUCAGGGAAGAAACACCGGCUCUAACACAGUCCGGGAAUGACGGUACCUGAAGAAUAAGCACCGGCUAACUACGUGCCAGCCGCCGCGGUAA